rfam:Mustela putorius furo unplaced genomic scaffold scaffold00387, whole genome shotgun sequence.
AUGGACGUCUUACCAGGCACGGUUAGAUCUGGGUUCUGUUGUCUAAUACUGUCUGGUAAUGCCGUCCAU